GCCUACAGCCAUUCCAUCCUAAAUGUACCCAACUUUCUUUGACCUUAGAAGCUAAGCAGGGUCACACCUGGUUAGUAUUUUGAAGAGAGAAGCAGGGAAUGAAAGCA
rnacentral:rRNA from 1 species